rnacentral:rRNA from 1 species
CAGGCCUAACACAUGCAAGUCGAACGCCCCGCAAGGGGAGUGGCAGACGGGUGAGUAACACGUGGGAACGUGCCCUACGGUUCGGGAUAACUCUGGGAAACUAGAGCUAAUACCGGAUACGUGCGAGAGCAGAAAGAUUUAUCGCCGUAGGAUCGGCCCGCGUCUGAUUAGCUAGUUGGUGAGGUAAUGGCUCACCAAGGCGACGAUCAGUAGCUGGUCUGAGAGGAUGAUCAGCCACACUGGGACUGAGACACGGCCCAGACUCCUACGGGAGGCAGCAGUGGGGAAUCUUGCGCAAUGGGCGAAAGCCUGACGCAGCGACGCCGCGUGAGUGAUGAAGGCCUUCGGGUUGUAAAGCUCUGUGGGGAGGGACGAAUAAGUGCUGGCUAAUAUCCAGCGCGAUGACGGUACCUCUUUAGCAAGCACCGGCUAACUCUGUGCCAGCAGCCGCGGUAAU